GAACUCUGAUUUUAUUAGGCUGGUGCAAAAGUAAUUGCAGUUUUUGCCAUUGAAAGUAAUGGCAAGUAAUGCUCCCUUGUUUGUUGCCUAUUGCUAUGUAACAAAUUACCAUGAACUUACUGACACUCAUACACAUC
rnacentral:miRNA from 1 species